UACGGGGGUGGCAAGCGUUGUUCGGAAUUACUGGGCGUAAAGGGCGCGUAGGCGGGGAGGUAAGUCGGGUGUGAAAUCCCUCGGCUCAACCGAGGAACUGCGCCCGAGACUGCCUUUCUUGAGUCCCGGAGAGGAAGGUGGAAUUCCCGGUGUAGCGGUGAAAUGUGUAGAGAUCGGGAGGAACACCGGUGGCGAAGGCGGCUCACUGGCCCGAUACUGACGCUGAGGCACGAAAGCGUGGGGAGCAAACAGG
rnacentral:rRNA from 1 species